rnacentral:rRNA from 1 species
GACGUAGGGCGCGAGCGUUGUCCGGAUUUAUUGGGCGUAAAGGGCGCGUAGGCGGCUCAUGAAGGCUGUGGUGAAAGUCCGGGGCUCAACCUCGGAUCGGCCGUGGCGACUCGUGGGCUGGAGCACUGUAGAGGCGGGUGGAAUUCCGGGUGUAGCGGUGGAAUGCGUAGAGAUCCGGAAGAACACCAGUGGCGAAGGCGGCCCGCUGGGCAGUGGCUGACGCUGAGGCGCGACAGCGUGGGGAGCAAACAGG